CUACGGGAGGCAGCAGUGGGGAAUUUUCCGCAAUGGGCGAAAGCCUGACGGAGCAAUACCGCGUGAGGGAAGACUGCCUAUGGGUUGUAAACCUCUUUUUUCAGGGAGGAAUGAAUGACGUGUACCUGAAGAAUAAGCAUCGGCUAACUCCGUGCCAGCAGCCGCGGUAAGACGGAGGAUGCAAGUGUUAUCCGGAAUCACUGGGCGUAAAGCGUCUGUAGGUGGUUGUUUAAGUCAACUGUUAAAUCUUGAGGCUCAACUUCAAAAUCGCAGUCGAAACUAUUCAACUAGAGUAUAGUAGGGGUAAAGGGAAUUUCCAGUGGAGCGGUGAAAUGCGUAGAUAUUGGAAAGAACACCGAUGGCGAAGGCACUUUACUGGGCUAUUACUAACACUCAGAGACGAAAGCUAGGGUAGCAAAUGGGAUUAGAUACCCCAGUAGUCCUAGCUGUAAACAAUGGAUACUAGAUGUUGAACAGAUCGACCUGUGCAGUAUCAAAGCUAACGCGUUAAGUAUCCCGCCUGGGAAGUAUGCUCGCAAGAGUGAAACUCAAAG
rnacentral:rRNA from 1 species